rnacentral:tRNA from 1 species
GUCAAGAUGGCAGAAUGGCUAAUGCGCUAGUCUUGAAAACUAGUCCCUUAAUGGGUUAUGGGUUCGAAUCCCAUUCUUGACG